AGAGUUUGAUCCUGGCUCAGAGCGAACGCUAGCGGCGGGCUUAACACAUGCAAGUCGUACGCCAGGUUUCGGCCUGGAGUGGCGAACGGGUGAGUAACACGUAGGUAAUCUACCCUUAGGUGGAGGAUAACUCAGGGAAACUUGGGCUAAUACCGCAUAUGGUCUACGGAUCAAAGCCUUCGGGCGCCAGAGGAAGGGCCUGCGGCCCAUUAUUUAAUCCUAGUUGGUGGGGUAAAGGCCUACCAAGGGUACGAUGGGUAGCUGGUCUGAGAGGAUGAUCAGCCACACUGGGACUGAGACACGGCCCAGACUCCUACGGGAGGCAGCAGUGGGGAAUAUUGCGCAAUGGGCGAAAGCCUGACGCAGCCACGCCGCGUGAGUGAUGAAGGCCUUUGGGUCGUAAAGCUCUGUCGGGAGGGAAGAAGUUCUGACGGUACCUCCCAAGAAAGCACCGGCUAACUCCGUGCCAGCAGCCGCGGUAAUACGGAGGGUGCAAGCGUUGCUCGGAAUUACUGGGCGUAAAGCGCACGCAGGCGGUCUACUAAGUCGGAUGUGAAAGCCCGGGGCUCAACCCCGGAACUGCAUUCAAAACUGGAUGGCUUGAGUACGGGAGAGGGAAGCGGAAUUCCUGGUGUAGAGGUGAAAUUCGUAGAUAUCAGGAGGAACACCCGUGGCGAAAGCGGGCUUCCUGGCCCGAUACUGACGCUCAUGUAUGAAAAGCGUGGGGAGCAACAAGGAUUAGAUACCUGGUAGUCCACGCCGUUAAACGAUGAGUGCUACUUGCUUGAAAUGCUUACCAUUUCAGUGGCGAACCACGCAUUAAGCACUCCGCCUGGGAAGUACGGCGCAAGGCUAAAAACUCAAAGGAAUGAACGGGGGCCCGCACAAGCGAUGGAGCAUAGUGGUUUAAUUCGGAAGCAACGCGCAGAACCUUACCCGGGCUUUACAUCCUUCGAACCCCCGAAACGUGGGGGUGCCCUCGCAAGAGGGAGCGGAGAGACAGUUGCUGCAUGGCUGUCGUCAGCUCGUUGCCGUGAGGUGUUCGGUUAAGUCCGGCAACGAGCGCAACCCCAUCCCAGUUACCAUUCAUUCAGUUGGGAUCUUGGCGAGACUGCCCGGGUGAUAAACCGGAGGAAGUUUGUGAACGACGUCCAGUCCUCAUGGUCCCUUAUAGUCAGGGGCUACACACGUGCUACAAUUGGGAUAUACAAAGGGAAGCGAGCCCGCGAGGAUGGAGCAAAUCCCAAAAAAGACCUCCUCAGGAUUCGGAAUUGCAGACUGCAACUCGCGUGCAUGAAAGCUGGAAUCGCUAGUAAUCGCGGAUCAGCAUGCCGCGGAGAAUACGUUCCCGGGCAUUGUACACACCGCCCGUCACACCACGAA
rnacentral:rRNA from 1 species